UACGAAGGGGGCUAGCGUUGCUCGGAAUCACUGGGCGUAAAGGGCGCGUAGGCGGAUCUUUAAGUCGGGGGUGAAAGCCUGAGGCUCAACCUCAGAAUUGCCUUCGAUACUGGAGAUCUUGAGACCGGAAGAGGUAAGUGGAAGUGCGAGUGUAGAGGUGAAAUUCGUAGAUAUUCGCAAGAACACCAGUGGCGAAGGCGGACUUACUGGUCCGGUUCUGACGCUGAGGCGCGAAAGCGUGGGGAGCAAACAGG
rnacentral:rRNA from 1 species